ACGGAGGAUCCGAGCGUUAUCCGGAUUUAUUGGGUUUAAAGGGUGCGUAGGCGGAAUAGCAAGUCAGUGGUGAAAGCCUGCAGCUUAACUGUAAAACUGCCAUUGAAACUGCUGUUCUUGAGUAUAGUAGAGGUAGGUGGAAUGUGUAGUGUAGCGGUGAAAUGCAUAGAUAUUACACAGAACACCGAUUGCGUAGGCAGCUUACUGGACUAUAACUGACGCUGAGGCACGAAAGCGUGGGGAUCAAACAG
rnacentral:rRNA from 1 species